AACGAACGCUGGCGGCAGGCUUAACACAUGCAAGUCGAACGCACCGCAAGGUGAGUGGCAGACGGGUGAGUAACACGUGGGGAUCUGCCCAAUGGUACGGAAUAGCUCCGGGAAACUGGAAUUAAUACCGUAUGAGCCCGCAAGGGGAAAGAUUUAUCGCCAUUGGAUGAACCCGCGUCGGAUUAGCUAGUUGGUGUGGUAAAGGCGCACCAAGGCGACGAUCCGCAGCUGGUCUGAGAGGAUGAUCAGCCACACUGGGACUGAGACACGGCCCAGACUCCUACGGGAGGCAGCAGUGGGGAAUAUUGGACAAUGGGCGCAAGCCUGAUCCAGCCAUGCCGCGUGAGUGAUGAAGGCCUUAGGGUUGUAAAGCUCUUUCGCCGACGAAGAUAAUGACGGUAGUCGGAGAAGAAGCCCCGGCUAACUUCGUGCCAGCAGCCGCCGUAAAAC
rnacentral:rRNA from 1 species